ACCAUCACACUGAACGCUUGCUGGCUUUAUCCCGGGAGGUGCAGGGACAGAUGGGGAGCUUUGGACUUUGGCUUUCUGCCAUUCUGAAGACGAAUGAUGAAAUGCAAUCAAGGGAUGUGAAUGUCAGGCGAACUGCUGCCCUUCAUUGUCUCCCAGCACUACUUCUUGAAAGCGACUCAGAGGUGUUCAAAACCUGCAAGUUGUCAUACUGUAGGAACGUGAGUCAAGAAAUCCUGGUGUCCUCAUUGGUCCAGUCUGCAUACCUGCUAUCCUCUCUGAUGAUGAAGAUGCAGUCUCCCUUCAGUCUCACCAAGUCUCCAUCAUCCACGAAGAUAGAGUGGUGAUGCACAGCUUCCAAUCCUGGCCAGAUGCUUUUCUCGCUCUAAUUGGCCUGGUUUAUGCUCUACAUCUGGAUUACCCAAAACCCAUGUCCAGCUCAUUUCUAUUCAUUCAGAAAGUGUUCCUUAAUGUUGAUUGCGAAAAGCUCAAAUCAAGUUUUGGCCUUGAAAAAUAAACUGUAACCUAAUUUUAACCUGUUUUCAGCUCAAAUGUGCCUGUGGUAAGACAACAGAUGUUGUUGUUUUUUUCAACCUUAGUAAAGAGAACUUGGUGAUUGUUGGAACAAAAAAAGUUUGUAUUCUUUUUUUGUUAUUUCCUUUCAUGUGCAUUCUCUUGAACUGUAACCAGAUGAACAAAAAUGGACAACUGUGAAUCUCAUGUGUUUGAAAUGCUGUUGUGGUAUUCUCCAAUAAUAAAUCAUAUUAGUUUGUACAGUUCAACAUGAAAUUUACACCUGAACCUAAAUUAUUUACAUGGAAGCAUGCUGAGGGAUUGGCUUGUGUCUUGUUGUCUUAGCAAGGAGGUAGGCUUAGUAAGGUACGCCUAUGACUGUGCUUUUGUGGACUUUGUAAAAAGUACAUUGAAUGUGUACGUUGUGAAGUGGUUAAAUUUGUUUUACACAAUAAUACUCACUUCAGCUAUUGUUAUAUGUUUGUUCUAUGUUAUAUUGCCUAACCAGCAAAUACUCACAAUCAUUAUUUGAAUUAUCAGACGUCAAUACUUGUAUUAAUUAACUUGAAGUCAUUAGACGUUUACAAAGCAAAGCAUGAUGAACCGCUAAAUGGGGUGGCUUUGAACUUUGCUCCCUGGUUUGCUUUGAGAGAACAUGCCAUCAUGAUAACCUCUGCUUACAGUACUAAUACUGAGCACUUUCAUAUAGCAGUCUAUACAGUAAUAUAUUCAGUCAUCUGUUUCUGUUAUACUAUUAUGGUGUUGCGGGAGCUCAUGGUCUCCUGGUACUCCUUCAGGCAGUGUUAACAGCAGUGCUCCAAUGAGAAUUGAUUUUGGCAUGUUGUGUGGCAUCUGCCUGUUCGUUGCAUAGCAUAAAAUUGUUUUCCACAGCAGGGUUAACUGGUGCAUCUGAACAUCAUUGUUAGUUGGCCCAACUUCUAAGACACACCAUACACAUAAUUUUGAAACUAUGGGAAUGGAACGAUUAGGAAAGGGGUGGCUAGUGAGGUCUAAGUCAGUCUCUCUUCCUGCCUAUCGUUCGUUCUUCUCUUAUGCCUUGUCAUCUUACUUGUCUCCUAUUGUCUCCUCCCACAACCUACACCAGCCACAUGUGGAUACAGCCAGAUAAGAAAUGAAAGGGUGUCGAAAAUGGUUGGUGAGGUCUUCUCAUGCCCUCUACUCUUUUGUCAAUGUUUUAUGCCUUACACAAUUUGUCCUCUCUAGAGUCUCCCAUCAGACAGGGUAAAUUGCGCUGAUGUACAGUCCUCUGCAAUGACCUGUGUGCUGACACUAAUCU